CAAGAAGAUGCUGGAGCUUGCAAUGCAGGAAAUGGUUACAUUUAUGGAAUUGAGAACGAGGGUAUAAAUGUUUGUCCUGAGGAUUGGCCAACAGAAAAUAGGUGUAAUAGAAAGAAAAGCGGGAAGAGGCCACACCUCACAUCGCAGAUACAGCUACCGGACACCAAACCGUGGAGCUACCAGAUGCUGUGCAACCAGGCUAGCAGAAGUGCGCUGGUUCCCGUGGUUUCACCAGUUCCUCAAAAAGACAUUUGAAAAGACUUUCAGUCACUGACAUGGAUGGAGGUGGGCUUCCCUAGGUCCUUCU